rnacentral:misc_RNA from 1 species
GCGUAUAUUGACACAGAUUUCUAUUGAAUUCUAGAAAAAGGAAAACCAAAGUCAUGAAAGUGAAUUGUAAGCUGUUUUGGUUUUGAAUGGAAAUCAAAAACUGGGUGUUGGUAUUUGGCUAAAACCCACAUGAGCCAAUGGUUCCUCAAAGCCUGGAAUUAAAACAAGAUUUCAACAGUCAUCUAUGUUUCAAUUUCAAAUAACCAUCUAGGACUUUCAACAUUAAAUUUUACGUUAGCACACGUCCAGACUAGCCAAAACUCUUUAAUGGAAAUUCCCUUUUAGCAUAUAUAUUUUUUGAGAAUUCACUUUUAGUAUAUAUACAGAAAUGAGAAGAGGUCAUCCACUACACAAGACAAUCUUUAGGUCAUCCAAUGCCCACUUAAAUUGAGGAAAAAAGGAUUCUUCUGCGGGUGUUAAUAUUGACAAAUGUGUAGAAUCUUUAAUUUCUCUGCUUCAUGUUCACUUGUUAAUGGCAGUAACUUCUUUGUCUCCGCAUUCUAGCUCCCCAGGAUAUGCUUUCUAAAUCUUUAGCAUUACUCUUUCUUAUUAGCUCUGCCAGCUGAGAUUGCCAUCUCUGUUCCCAAUCAUCUCUAGCAUCCAAUCCCUCAUUGUAGCGGGAUCGCUUUGUAGUAGAGAACAUGGAACGCAAGUCUAGGCCUCUGGCCAUAUCUCUGUCAUAUAAAGUUCUGCUUUUGGGAUCCGACAAGGUCUCAUAAGCCUCCUGAACCUGAAUAAACUUCUUCGUGUACUCCUCUUUACGUUCCGGCGGUGAAACAUCAGGAUGGUACUUCCUGGCAAGUUGUUUAUAAGCUUUCUUAAUCUCCGAGAGCGUUCCACUCUUGGGGAUGCCCAACAAAUCGUAGAAACUCUGGGAGUUUAUAUAAACGCCAUCAAUAGCAGCAGCGUAGGCCUUAAUCGGACUGGUCCUGAUGGAUUUGGAAUGUGUUCUGAGGGAAAAGCUUGAUUUUUGGAAAUGGGUAUUGAAGCUAAGGUGAGAAGAUGGCUCAAGAAAGGAUUUUUUGGUUGAGAUUUUGGGUUUUGAGAUUGUGUGGGAGCUAGCAUGGCUUCCAGCAGAGAUCAUUCCGCUACUCAUAUUUGUUUGCGGGUGUUGGUUUCUUGCUUGUUCUGAUGGAUUUAGAAUUAAAAUCUGUUGUAAGGGAAAAAAGGUAUAAAGGCUAUAUAUAGAGAAAGAGGGGAGAAGAUCCGAUUAAGAUACCAGUUGGCACUUUGAGUCUCAAGCUCACACACAGAACAAGAAAAUUCAACGUGCCCUUGUCACUGAAGGUUCCAAAUUGAAACCAGCUAGAAAUACCAGAAACAAGUCUUCUACAUGAUAAUAUUUAUUCU